UAUAUAGGAACAUAUUCUUAAAUAUAUUUAGAUAAUAAGAUUGUAAUACACAGCGUUUGCGUUACGUUUGUACUAUGUUACACUUACUGCUACGCACGAAUACGCACGAACUCGUACGAAUAUUAACCGAAGUACAUUUAUUGGACAUGUGUUCGUUUGUAUUUAUUGUCAAAUUAUAGUGACUAUAUACUAGGAGAUCCGAACUAGUGACGAACUUCACCUAACUGCUUGAUAAUGGAUGAAAAUAUUUUAUAUCUAUUUCAAUAUAUAAUUAGAGGCCAUAAAUUGCGUCAAACGAAUUAAAAAAAUUUUACCCCUAACCCGUCCUCGUCACAACUAUCAGAACAUUUAUCAGACCCUCUUAUCUAGUGUGUUAUUAGUUUAAGAAUCACGUUUUCAUAGUGACAAGUACCUAAAUAUAUUAGGUUUUUGAAUGUGUAUUCACAAAAUUUUAAACCCCUCCCCCCACCACUUAUCCCACCAUGUCACACUUCGUCGACCGCCUUGACGUAAUUUUUCGAUGGCCCCUUACAAGAACGCGCGAAGAGGUAAAUUUUAAAUAAAUGAUUUUUGUAAUGAAAUAUGCGCUUAUACAUUAACCAUUAGGAUUGGAAAAUGAAUCGCAUAGCCUAGGUAGGUAUUUGUAAGGGUAUGUAUAUGUAUACACUGUAAUUAAAUUAAAGACAUAUUAUAA